rnacentral:misc_RNA from 1 species
UGGUUCUGGCAUCGAUGAAGAACGCAGCGAAAUGCGAUAAGUAAUGUGAAUUGCAGAAUUCAGUGAAUCAUCGAAUCUUUGAACGCACAUUGCGCCCAUUAGUAUUCUAGUGGGCAUGCCUAUUCGAGCGUCAUUUCGACCCUUAAGCCUUUGUUGCUUAGCAUUGGGAAUCUACAGCGUAGUUCCUUAAAGUUAGUGGCGGAGUUAGGGUACACUCUCAGCGUAGUAAUUUCUCUCGCUCGUGUGGUGGUCCUAGCUGCCAGCCGUUAAACUCCCUAUAUUUUCUAAUGGUUGACCUCGGAUUAGGUAGGAAUACCCGCUGA